UUAGAGUUUGAUCCUGGCUCAGAUUGAACGCUGGCGGCAUGCCUUACACAUGCAAGUCGAACGGCAGCGCGGGGCAACCUGGCGGCGAGUGGCGAACGGGUGAGUAAUAUAUCGGAACGUACCCUGGAGUGGGGGAUAACGUAGCGAAAGUUACGCUAAUACCGCAUACGAUCUACGGAUGAAAGUGGGGGAUCGCAAGACCUCAUGCUCGUGGAGCGGCCGAUAUCUGAUUAGCUAGUUGGUAGGGUAAAAGCCUACCAAGGCAUCGAUCAGUAGCUGGUCUGAGAGGACGACCAGCCACACUGGGACUGAGACACGGCCCAGACUCCUACGGGAGGCAGCAGUGGGGAAUUUUGGACAAUGGGCGCAAGCCUGAUCCAGCAAUGCCGCGUGAGUGAAGAAGGCCUUCGGGUUGUAAAGCUCUUUUGUCAGGGAAGAAACGGUGGGAGCUAAUAUCUCUCACUAAUGACGGUACCUGAAGAAUAAGCACCGGCUAACUACGUGCCAGCAGCCGCGGUAAUACGUAGGGUGCAAGCGUUAAUCGGAAUUACUGGGCGUAAAGCGUGCGCAGGCGGUUUUGUAAGUCUGAUGUGAAAUCNG
rnacentral:rRNA from 1 species